UGGGGAAUUUUGGACAAUGGGGGCAACCCUGAUCCAGCCAUUCCGCGUGAGUGAAGAAGGCCUUCGGGUUGUAAAGCUCUUUCGGACGGAACGAAACGGUUAGCGUGAAUAGCGCUGACUAAUGACGGUACCGUAAGAAGAAGCACCGGCUAACUACGUGCCAGCAGCCGCGGUAAUACGUAGGGUGCGAGCGUUAAUCGGAAUUACUGGGCGUAAAGCGUGCGCAGGCGGCGGCACAAGUCAGGUGUGAAAUCCCAGGGCUUAACCUGGGAAUUGCGCUUGAAACUAGGUCGCUUGAGUGUGGCAGAGGGGGGUGGAAUUCCACGUGUAGCAGUGAAAUGCGUAGAGAUGUGGAGGAACACCGAUGGCGAAGGCAGCCCCCUGGGUCAACACUGACGCUCAUGCACGAAAGCGUGGGGAGCAAACAGGAUUAGAUACCCCGGUAGUCCCUGAGCGGGCUGGCAAGGCGCAU
rnacentral:rRNA from 1 species